rnacentral:rRNA from 1 species
UUCCCGUACUUGGUGUUACUGCGAAGGGGGGACGGAGAAGGCUAUGUUGGCCGGGCGACGGUUGUCCCGGUUUAAGCGUGUAGGCUGGUUUUCCAGGCAAAUCCGGAAAAUCAAGGCUGAGGCGUGACGACGAGGCACUACGGUGCUGAAGCAACAAAUGCCCUGCUUCCAGGAAAAGCCUCUAAGCAUCAGGUAACAUCAAAUCGUACCCCAAACCGACACAGGUGGUCAGGUAGAGAAUACCAAGGCGCUUGA